ensembl:piRNA 21ur-6843 ncRNA
UUGUUAUGUUCUCGUCACAUA